rnacentral:lncRNA from 1 species
CGCCUGCCUGAGCGCUUUGCGCCAGCCAGCCGAGUGGGGAGGAGAGCCAGGGGCUCGCCGCGGGAGGUGCGCGCCUACCACCGUCCCGAGCGGGGCCGCAGCCACCCACAAAGCAGUAACAUAAAGAAGUCCCAAGAGAUAAGAAGGAAAGAAAAACAGAGACACAGAUCAUCGUGCUUUGAAAAUAUUUGUACAGAGGUGAAGCUACCCAGACACUUGAAGCCUUGUGAGCAGGUGGCUAGCUGGGAACCAUCACUGCGUGCUGUGCCAAUACCCAGUGCUCUGCUCCUGAGUCAUUGCUUUCUUGGUUACAUUUACAUAACUAUUCCAACAUCUAGUUUGGUAAGAAGAAAAGAAAAUUGUGCUUGUUUGUCUCAGUGGGAGUU